UCAAUUGAAAAGACAAUAUCAAAAUCAAUGUCAUUUUAUUUUCAAAUUUCUCUCUAUGCCGUCUCUCAUAUUUCUCUCUUCGUUCUCUCAAAUUUCUCUUUUCGCCAUUUCUCUUCUCCAUCGAUUUAAGGUUUGACUGAUAAUUUGAAGAUUUCUUCAAUGACUUCACAUAUUAAGUUAGAGAUGAAUAUCAUACAGACUAUAAUCCUGAUAUCCUUUUCUUCUUUGCAUUUGAAUUUUUUUUGUAGUUUCUUUGAUGCGAUCUUAAAAAAACUAUAGUAGUACUUGUUUUCUUUGAGAAUAGAUAGCUUCAAAACCACAUAAAUUAACAUAAUCUUAGUGUUGAAAUUAGGAAUUGCAACCUUGUUCGCUAAAAACGAGUGAUACUAUUGUUAUUCAGGUGAAUAAUUUACAAUUGCAUUUCUGAAUUAGUUUAACUUUCCUGUUGGAUUGUGUGUUUUUCUUUGAUUGGAUCAUCUAGCUUUUUUUAAGCGAUCCGCAUUUAAAGCCUUCUUCAUUUCAUGAUAAAGGAAUAUAUAAGUAUACAACGUUUGUUAAUGGAAAAUUUCUCUACUGGUCAGUCAAAUGGAUAUAUUAUUAUAGAAUUGACACUUCAUUGAAAUAACUAGUCAUAACUCGUAGUAGUACACAAACAAUUUGCAUUGCUCCUUUUUGUUUCCUUAGCAUAUUAUACGCAGGGAUGGCUAUGGAAAAUUAUUUCAGCAUGAGCUAGAACAUAGACAACUUAUGGAUUAUGGAGAUGCAUCAUUUUUCUCUUUCCCUCCAAUUAUUGCACAACCUCACUGCGGAACCAAUUAACCAAUCUCAACCUUGGGUGAUAUGUAUAACUAUUUUUGUUGCCGAGAUACAUGCAGCAACACACUGAAGUUGAACUCCUUGCUCUUGGAAUUGGAUUUCAGGUUGAUAGUAUGGAAUUUGACCGUAGCAGAAAAGACACUCAAUGUUUAGUAGUUUAAUCGUUAUUUUUGAUGAAUAUUUUGGUAAACAUUUUCUAUUUGUGAUGUAAGGAUAGAUGUAAUAUUUUUCGAUUUUGAAUUUUAUGAAUAUUUUUUGUUUUCUAAUU